UAUUUCUAGCUACGGUUUGCCCUAUGAUC
rnacentral:piRNA from 1 species